GACGAACCGUGCAAACGUUGUUCGGAAUCACUGGGCUUAAAGGGCGCGUAGGCGGAUCAGCAAGUCAGGGGUGAAAUCCCACGGCUCAACCGUGGAAGUGCCUUUGAUACUGCGGGUCUUGAGGGAGGUAGGGGCGUAUGGAACUUCCGGUGGAGCGGUGAAAUGCGUAGAUAUCGGAAGGAACACCGGUGGCGAAAGCGGUACGCUGGAUCUCUACUGACGCUGAGGCGCGAAAGCUAGGGUAGCAAACGGG
rnacentral:rRNA from 1 species